rnacentral:rRNA from 1 species
CCUACGGGCGGCAGCAGUGAGGAAUAUUGGUCAAUGGGCUUACGCCUGAACCAGCCAAGUCGCGUGAGGGAAGACUGCCCUAUGAGUUUUAAACCUCUUUUGUCAGGGAGCAACGCCGGCGACGUGUAGCCGGACUGAGAGUACCUGACGGCAAAGCAUCGCCUAACUCCGUGCCAGCAGCCGCGGUAUUACGGAGGAUGCGAGCGUUAUCGGGAUUUAUUGGGUUAAAAGGGUGCGUAGGCGGAAUGCCAAGUCAGCGGUAAAACCGCGGGGCUCAACCUCGCUCCGCCGUUGAAACUGGUGUUCUUGAGUGGGCGAGAAGUAUGCGGAAUGCGUGGUGUAGCGGUGAAAUGCAUAGAUAUCACGCAGAACUCCGAUUGCGAAGGCAGCAUACCGGCGCCCAACUGACGCUGAAGCACGAAAGCGUGGGUAUCGAACAGGAUUAGAUACCCUUGUAGUC